rnacentral:rRNA from 1 species
UUUAAGCUUCCUACGGGAGGCUGCAGUGGGGAAUCUUGCGCAAUGGGCGAAAGCCUUACGCAGCCAUGCCGCGUGAAUGAUGAAGCUCUUAGGAUUGUAAAAUUCUUUCACCGGGGACGAUAAAGACGGUACCCGGAGAAGAAGCCCCGGCUAACUUCGUGCCAGCAGCCGCGGUAAUACGAAGGGGGCUAGCGUUGCUCGGAAUUACUGGGCGUAAAGGGAGCGUAGGCGGACAUUUAAGUCAGGGGUGAAAUCCCGGGGCUCAACCUCGGAAUUGCCUUUGAUACUGGGUGUCUUGAGUAUGAGAGAGGUGUGUGGAACUCCGAGUGUAGAGGUGAAAUUCGUAGAUAUUCGGAAGAACACCAGUGGCGAAGGCGACACACUGGCUCAUUACUGACG